CAGGUUAGGAACAAAACUCUGCAGGGCUCCGGCUCUCCACGAAUAGAGUUUGACACCCCUGUUCUAGAGAGACGGAAGAGCUCGAUUAGCUGGUUCAGCUGUGUUUAAUUAGAUUGGAGCUAAAUUGUGCAGGACAGCAGCACUUCAGGAACUGGUUUGGACAUCCGAGGCAGUACCUUGCAUGCUCAUGCUCUAUUUUUCAAGAAGGAUGAACCUCUGGUGAUGUGCUACAGAUGUAAUUCUUCUGGUUGGAGUUGUUAACAGAGUUCUAGCUGCAUCACAUCUCUUCCUGUUCUAGUUGAAUUCAUAAUAUGAGGAUCACAGUUACCAAUCCCUCUGGAAAAAUGGUGAUGGGUUCCAUAAUGUGGAUGGUGAGCGUUUACAUGGAACGUAGCUGAGUGGGAUUUCAGAGGAACCGAAAUCCCAGAGGAUGUGGAUUACUGGCACCGACAACUCAAAUCAUCAGUUCGGAAAUGCAUAUAGAAAGACACAGAGCACAAGAAGAGACACUGAGAGACCAGCAAUGAAUGAGGCAAAGCCAUAGAGAGAGAAAACAGUUGAUCCAUUGCAGACUUUGCAGGUUGUUCUCUGUAUUCAACAAGCCAGAUUUUACCCUCUGAGACCCACUGGAACAUAUGCAACAACUAUUUUUCACACACAAUUUUCUAUUUCCACAACACGCACACAUACUGUAUGUUAUUAUAAUUUUCAUUAUUAUUAUUUUUGUAAUUUUUAGCAUAUGAACCCGCUGGUUUUCUGCAUUAAGUGGUCAUAAAAUGUAAUCUUCAACAAAGUCACAAAUAAUGAUCCUCCAGCUCUUAUUGCAUUAUGUUUUCCUUCUUAAGAAUCAGUACAUGUUAUCACAUCUUAUAAUAAUUGUGUAUGAAUACAUUCAAAUCAUCAGUGUGAAAGGAUGAAUCUCAAAAGCACAAUCACUUUUGUAAAGGGUUCAAAUAUGCAGAAUAAUGGUGGAAAACCAAAGAAAGUGUGGGAUCUAGAGGGUUUUCUGAAGAACAGCGAUCAGUUUAUAUGCAAACAAACAAGGUUAAUAAAAACACAAGCACUGCAUUGUGAAUUUUAAUGGUCUGUGUUUAAUAAAGACAUGGAAGACUAUGAUUGUUUAUGUGUUGUUAGCUUAAAUAAUUUGUGUUUAUCUAUAUUGAUGGCACUGAUUAAAAUCCGAUCUCUUUUAAUGACCAAUUAAUACAGAAAACCAAGUUCAUUAGCAGUUGCCUUUCCAGUUUGGAGAAUGCUAUCUGCCGUCUGACUGCUGCAGUCACAGAAUCAAAACACGCUGAGAUUACGAUAUCUCUUCCAAGGCUCUGAGAGACCAUCAUUCAGAGAACAUCCGUCACAGGCCCACAGAGCCACUACAAUGAUAAUGAGAAUGAAAAUUACACCUUUUUUAUGGAUUAAACUAUUCAUGGCAGACUGCACCAGUGGGGCAUAACUACACUUCAGACCAUAUAUAAUUAUUAAAAGCUACCGAAAGGCAAUGUAUCAACA